AUGGGGGUUUGCACAGAGGGUUUUUCCCUGGUUUUUGGGGGGUUUUGGGCCUUUUUUCCCUCCCUUUUUGCCGAGAUUUUUCCCAUUUUCCUCCUUUUUUUUCCCAUUUUCCCAAUUUUCCUCCUUUUCCUUUUCCUCCUUGUCUCUUUUCCCCUUUUUUCCUUCUCUUUUCCCAUUUUUCUUCCUUUUUCCCUCCUUUUUUCCCAUUUUUCCUCUCUUUUCCUCCUCUUUUCCCAUUUUCCCUCCUUUUUUCCCCUUUUUCCUCCUUUUUUCCCAUUUUUCCUCCUUCUCCCUAUUUUUCCUCUUUUCCAUUUCCCCCUUUUUUCCUCCUCUUUUCCUUUUUCCCACUUUUUCCCUUUUCCUCCUUUUUUUCCCAUUUUUCCCCCUUUUUCCUUUCCUCCUUCUCUCUCUUUUCCCAGUUUUCUCCCUUUUCCCAGUUUUUUCCCAUUUUUCUUCCUUUUUCCCUACUUUUUUCCCAUUUUUCCUCUUCCUUUUUCCCUACUUUUUUCCCAUUUUUCCUCUCUUUUCCUCCUCUUUUCCCAUUUUUCCUUCUUCCCCAUUUUUCCUCUUUUUCUCCUUUUCAUUUCUUUUCUCUUUUCCCCUUUUUCUUCCUCUUUACCCGUUUUUCCUCCUCUUUUCCCCUUUUUCCUCCUUUCCUUUUUCCUCCUUUUUUCCCAUUUUUCCUCCUUCUCCCUAUUUUUCCUCCUCUUUUCCAUUCCCCCCUUUUUUCCUCCUCUUUUUCCCGUUUUUCCUCCUCUUUUCCUUUUUCCCACUUUUCCCCUUUUCCUCCUUUUUUUCCCAUUUUUCCUCCUUUUCCCUUUCCUCCUUCUCUCUCUUUUCCCAUUUUUUCCUUCUCUUUUCCCAUUUUUCUCCCUUUUCCCUCCUUUUUUCCCAUUUUUCUCCCUUUUUCUCUCCUUUUUUCCCAUUUUUCCUCCUUUUUUCCCAUUUUUCUUCCUUCCCUAUUUUUCCUCAUUUCCAUUUUUUCUUUCCUUUUUUUUCCUCCUCUUUUCCCAUUUUUCCUCCUCUUUUCCCAUUUUUCUUUCUUCUUCCCCAUUUUUCCUUUUUUCUCCUUUUCCUUUCUUUUCUCUUUUCCCCUUUUUUCCUCCUCUUUUUCCCAGUUUUCCUCCUUUUUUUUCCCAUUUUUCCCCCUUUUCCCUUUCAUCCUUCUCUCUCUUUUCCCCUUCUUCCUUCUCUUUUCCCAUUUUUCUUCAUUUUUCCUCCUCUUUUCCCCUUUUUCCUCCUUUUUCCUCCUUUUUUCCCAUUUUUCCUCCUUCUCCCUAUUUUUCCUCUUUUCCAUUUCCCCCCUUUUUUCCUCCUCUUUUCCUUUUUCCCACUUUUUCCCUUUUCCUCCUUUUUUUCCCAUUUUUCCCCCUUUUUCCUUUCCUCCUUUUCUCUCUCUUUUCCCAGUUUUCUCCCUUUUCCCAGUUUUUUCCCAUUUUUCUUCCUUUUUCCCUACUUUUUUCCCAUUUUUCCUCUCUUUUCCUCCUCUUUUCCCAUUUUUCCUUCUUCCCCAUUUUUCCUCUUUUUCUCCUUUUCAUUUCUUUUCUCUUUUCCCCUUUUUCCUCCUCUUUUCCCGUUUUUCCUCCUUUCCUUUUUCCUCCUUUUUUCCCACUUUUCCUCUUUUCCUUUUUCCCACUUUUUCCCUUUUCCUCCUCUUUUUUCCCAUUUUCCCUCUUUUUUUCCCAUUUUUCCUCUUUUCCAUUUUCUUUUUUCUUUUCCCUUUUUUUCCUCCUUUUUUCCCAUUUUUCCUCCUUCUCCCUAUUUUUCCUCCUCUUUUCCAUUUCCCCCUUUUUUCCUCCUCUUUUUCCCACUUUUCCUCCUCUUUUCCUUUUUCCCACUUUUUCCCAUUUUCCUCCUCUUUUUCCCAUUUUUCCUCCUUUUCCCUUUCCUUCUUCUCUCUCUUUUCCCAUUUUUCCUCUCUUUUCCUAUUUUUCUCCCUUUUUCCUCCUUUUUUCCCAUUUUUCCUCCUUUCCUAUUUUUCCUCUUUUCCAUUUUCUUUUCCCCUUUUUUUCUCCUCUUUUCCCAUUUUCCCUCUUUUCCAUUUUCUUUUUUCUUUUCCCCUUUUUCCUCUUUUCCCAUUUUUCCUUUUUUUCCCAACUCUUUUCCUUCUUUUCCCAGUUUUCCUCUUCCUUUUUCCCCUUUCUUCUCCUUUUCCUUCCAUUUUCCCUCAUUUCCUUCUUUUUUCCUUUUUUCCUCCUUUUUUCCCUUUUCCUUUUUCCCUCUUCCUCCUUUUCCCCAUUUUCUCUCCCUUUUUUCCUCUUUUUUCCCCAUUUUCUCCCCUUUUUUCCCCAUUUUCUCCCCCUUUUUCCCCCAUUUUUCCUCCAUUUCCUUCAUUUUCCUCCUUUUCCACAACAUUUUUUCCCAUUUUCCUCUUUUUUAUCUCAUUUUUCACUCUGUCCCCACUUCCUCUUCCUUCCACUUCCUCCUUUUCCUUCUUUUUCCCCCUUUUCCUCAACCUUUUAUUCCCAGUUUUUCCCCAUUUUUUCCCGAUUUUCCCACAUUUUCUCAAUGUUUUCCCCCCUUUUCCCCCAUUUUUUCCCAUUUUCCCUCUUUUCUCCCUUUUCCUCAACCUUUUUUCCCAUUUUUUCCCCAUUUCCUCAACCUUUUCCCCCUUUUUUUUCAAUUUUCCCUCAUUUUCCCACAUUUCCCCAACCUUUUAUUCCCAUUUUUCCCAUUUCCCCCCCUUUUUCUCAACCUUUUAUUCCCAUUUCCCCCCAUUUUUUCCCUCUUUUCCUCCUUUCCCCCUUUUUCCUUCUUUUCCCCUUUUCCUUAACCUUUUAUUCCCAUUUUUCCCCCAUUUCCUCAACCUUUUAUUCCCAUUUUUUCCCCAUUUUUUCUCCCUUUUUUUCCCCCUUUUCCCCCAUUUUCCCCCAUUUCCACAAGCUUUUAUUCCCAUUUUCCCCAUUUUCCUUAAUAUUUUAUUCCCAUUUUUUCCUCAACCUUUUAUUCCCAUUUUCCCCCAUUUUUCCCCAUUUCCGCAACCUUUUUUCCCUUUUUUUCCCCAUUUUCCCCCCUUUUUUCCCCAUUUUCCCCCUUUUCCUUCCAAUUCCCAUUUUUCCUUCUUUUCCCCUUUUCCUUAACCUUUCAUUCCCAUUUUUUCCCAUUUUCUUCAAACUUUUAUUCCCAUUUUUCCCCUUUUCCCCCUUUUUUCCCAUUUUCCCACAUUUCCUCAACCUUUUAUUCCCAUUUUUCCCCAUUUUCCCCCUUUUUUCCCAUUUUCCUCCUUUUCCCACAUUUCCUCAACUUUUAUUCCCAUUUUCCCCAUUUUUUCCCCAUUUCCUCAACCUUUUAUUCCCAUUUUUCCCAUUUUUUCCCAUUUUCUUCAACCUUUUAUUCCCAUUUUUACCCCUUUUCCCCCUUUUUUCCCCAUUUUCCCACAUUUCCACAACGUUUUAUUCCCAAUUUUCCCCAUUUUUCCCAUUUUCCUUCAUUUUCCCACUUUUCCUCAACUUUUAUUCCCAUUUUUUCCCAUUUUUUCCCCAUUUCCUCAACCUUUUCUCCCUUUUUUCCCCAUUUUUCCCACUUUUCUUCAACCUUUUAUUCCCUUUUUCCCAUUUUCUUCCUUUUUUCCCAUUUUUCCCCAUUUUUCCCCAUUUUCUUCAACCUUUUAUUCCCAUUUUUCCCCCAUUUUUCCCCCUUUUUUCCCCAUUUUUCCCAUUUUUCCUAAACCUUUUAUUCCCAUUUUUCCCCAUUUUUACCCCUUUUCCCCCUUUUUUCCCCAUUUUCCCACAUUUCCACAACCUUUUAUUCCAAAUUUUCCCCAUUUUUCCCAUUUUCCUUCAUUUUCCCACUUUUCCUCAAUCUUUUAUUCCCAUUUUUUCCCAUUUUCCCCAUUUUCCCCCAUUUUUCCCCCUUUUUUCCCCAUUUUUCCCACUUUUCUUCAACCUUUUAUUCCCAUUUUUCCCCCUUUUUUCCCCUUUUCCCCAUUUCCUCAACCUUUUAUUCCCAUUUUUCCCUCUUUUCCCCCUUUUAUUCCCAUUUUCACCCAUUUUUUCCCCAUUUCCUCAACCUUUUCUCCCUUUUUUCCCCAUUUUCCCCCUUUUUUCCCCAUUUUUCCCACUUUUCUUCAACCUUUUAUUCCCCUUUUUUCCCAUUUUCUCCCUUUUUUCCCAUUUUUCCCCAUUUUCCCCCAUUUCCUCAACCUUUUAUUCCCAUUUUUCCCCCAUUUUUCCCCAUUUUUCCCCAUUUUUCCCCAUUUUUCCCCAUUUCCUCAAACUUUUAUUCCCAUUUUUUUCCCUUUUCCCCCUUUUUUCCCAUUUUCACUCCUUUUCCCACUUUUCCUCAACCUUUUAUUAUUUUUCCCCAUUUUUCCCCAUUUCCUCAAACUUUUAUUCCCAUUUUUUUCCCUUUUCCCCCUUUUUUCCCAUUUUCACUCCUUUUCCCACUUUUCCUCAACCUUUUAUUCCCAUUUUUUCCCAUUUUCUUCAAACUUUUAUUCCCAUUUUUCCCCAUUUUUUCCCCAUUCCCUCAACCUUUCCUCCAUUUUUUCCCCAUUUUUCCCCCUUUUUUCCCCAUUUUUCCCACUUUUCUUCAACCUUUUAUUCCCCUUUUUUCCCAUUUUCUCCAUUUUUUCCCAUUUUUCCCCAUUUUCUUCAACCUUUUAUUCCCAUUUUUCCCACUUUUUCCCCAUUUUUUCCCCCUUUUUUCCCCAUUUUUCCCACUUUUCUUCAACCUUUUAUUCCCAUUUUUCACCAUUUUCCCCAUUUCCCCCCAUUUUCCCCCAUUUUUCCCCCUUUCCCCCAUUUUCCCCAUUUUUUGCCACAUUUCCUCAACUUUUAUUCCCAUUUUCCCCCAUUUUUUCCCCAUUUCCUCAACCUUUUAUUCCCAUUUUUCCCAUUUUUUCCCAUUUUCUUCAACCUUUUAUUCCCAUUUUUACCCCUUUUCCCCCUUUUUUCCCCAUUUUCCCACAUUUCCACAACGUUUUAUUCCAAAUUUUCCCCAUUUUUCCCAUUUUCCUUCAUUUUCCCACUUUUCCUCAAUCUUUUAUUCCCAUUUUUCCCCAUUUCCUCAACCUUUUCUCCCUUUUUUCCCCAUUUUUCCCACUUUUCUUCAACCUUUUAUUCCCAUUUUUCCCCAUUUUUCCCACUUUUUCCCCAUUUUUCCCCAUUUUUCCUUAUUUUUCCCCAUUUUCUUCAACCUUUUAUUCCCAUUUUUCCCAUUUUUCCCCAUUUUUCCCCAUUUUUUCCCAUUUUCCCCCAUUUUUCCCAUUUUUCCUCAACCUUUUAUUCCCAUUUUUUCCCCAUUUUCCCCCAUUUUCCCCAUUUUUCCCCUUUUUUCCCCAUUUUUCCUAAACCUUUUAUUCCCAUUUUCCCCAUUUCCCCCCAUUUUUCCCAUUUUUCCCCAUUUUUUCCCAUUUUUCCCCAUUUUUCCCCAUUUUCUUCAACCUUUUUUCCCCAUUUUUCCCAUUUUUCCUCAACCUUUUAUUCCCAUUUUUCCCAUUUUUCCCCAUUUCCCCCCUUUUUUCCCCAUUUUCCCCCCAUUUUUCCCCCAUUUUUCCCCAUUUUUUCUCCAUUUUCCCCAUUUUUCCCCAUUUCCUCAACCUUUUAUUCCCAUUUUUCCCCAUUUUUCCCCAUUUUUCCCCAUUUCCCCCCAUUUUUCCCCAUUUUCCCCAUUUCCCCAACACCUCCAGGCCCAUCCCAAACACAUUUUUUUAUUUCAUAA
rnacentral:lncRNA from 1 species